UGCCAGCAGCCGCGGUAAGACGAACCGGACAAACGUUAUUCGGAAUUAUUGGGCUUAAAGGGUGCGUAGGCGGUGCGGUAAGUCGGGUGUGAAAUCCCUCGGCUCAACCGAGGAACUGCGCCCGAUACUGCCGUGCUUGAGGGAGACAGAGGUGAGCGGAACUGAUGGUGGAGCGGUGAAAUGCGUUGAUAUCAUCAGGAACACCAGUGGCGUAAGCGGCUCACUGGGUCUCUUCUGACGCUGAGGCACGAAAGCUAGGGUAGCGAACAGGAUUAGAUA
rnacentral:rRNA from 1 species